AAGUCGUAACAAGGUUUCCGUAGGUGAACCUGCGGAAGGAUCAUUAACACGUAUCCACGUAUCCACCCCUCGUGAACUGUUUUCACCUCUCCCUAGAGAGAUUCGACAUGAGUUGGAAGGGAAUCCGAGCGUUUGAAUGAGAAAAGUUUUACCGCUUUUCGGCUCGGUUUCCCCCAUCUGCUGGCUUGUCCAGCGUACAACUGGAGUCGACUCCCUAGGCACUAUUCUUCUUAUACGAGACUCUCUCCAUUCAAGAGCGCUCGUAUAGGAUGCAUAACCACCUUUUUCACCCCCUUUUUGCUAGUUGACUUUUUAUCUGUUGUUACGCUGUGGAUUCACUUCUACUCGUCUCACACGUUUAAUUACUUGAACGUUAAAAAAACAACUCUUAGCAAUGGAUAUCUAGGUUCUC
rnacentral:misc_RNA from 1 species